UACAGAGGGGCAAGCGUUGUUCGGAAUUACUGGGCGUAAAGGGCGCGUAGGCGGCCUGUUAAGUCGAACGUGAAAUCCCCGGGCUCAACCCGGGAACUGCGUCCGAUACUGGCAGGCUUGAAUUCGGGAGAGGGAUGUGGAAUUCCAGGUGUAGCGGUGAAAUGCGUAGAUAUCUGGAGGAACACCGGUGGCGAAGGCGGCAUCCUGGACCGAGAUUGACGCUGAUGCGCGAAAGCCAGGGAGCAACGGG
rnacentral:rRNA from 1 species